rnacentral:rRNA from 1 species
AAUGGGCUUACGCCUGAACCAGCCAAGUCGCGUGAGGGAAGACUGCCCUAUGGGUUGUAAACCUCUUUGUCAGGGAGCAACAACAUCUACGAGUAGGUUGUUACGAGAGUACCUGAAGAAAAAGCAUCGGCUAACUCCGUCGCC